GACGAACGCUGGCGGCGUGCUUAACACAUGCAAGUCGAACGGACAGGCCCUGCUUUUGUGGGGUGCUCGAGUGGCGAACGGGUGAGUAACACGUGAGUAACCUGCCCUUGACUUUGGGGUAACUUCAGGAAACUGGGGCUAAUACCGGAUAGGAGCUCCUGCUGCAUGGGGGGGGUUGGAAAGUUUCGGCGGUUGUGGAUGGACUCGCGGCUUAUCAGCUUGUUUGUGGGGUAGGUGCUUACCAAGGCUUUGACGGGUAGCCGGCCUGAGAGGGUGACCGGCCACAUUGGUACUGAGAGACGGACCAGAAGGCUACGGGAGGCAGUAGUCGGGAGUAUUGCACAAUGGGCGGAAGCGUGAUGCAGCAGCGCCGGGAGCGUGAUGACGGCUUACGGGUUGUAAACCGCUUUCGACUGUGACGAAGCGUGAUUGACGGUAAUGGGUAAGGAAGCACCGGCUAACUACGUG
rnacentral:rRNA from 1 species